CAUUUCUUAGAACUUAUAUUAUUGCCAGGCAAUUUUGCCCUCAUGAAAACAUCAUAGGAGUACUUACACAAACCAAGACAGUAUAGCCUACUACACAUCUAGGCUAUAUGACACUUGCUCCUAGGCUACAAACCUGUGCAGUAUGUUACUGUAGUGAAUACCAUAGGCAACUGUAACACGAUGGUGGAACCCAAUUCUAAAGCCAUAUAACCACCGCAUCUUUCUCUGAACCACAGAAAGAUGGUGGGAGCUCCUUGGAAGGGCACCCAUCUGCUGCAGGCCUGAGAACAGUACACCAAGGAGUUCCCAUUUAUAUUCCCAGGAGUUAAAACAAAACAAAAUGAAACAAAAAACAGCAUUGAUUCCGUGAGCAAGCAAAUGACUACCAUGAAACUCCUACACCAAAAUUUUAAAAGCAAAAAUCCAUAUGAGGACAUCUGAUUACUUCUGCAGAAUGUCACUUUUCAUGCUGCUGUGAUAUAUGCAAACAUGACAAAUGAUUUUGCACGAUGAAAUAAUAUGGCUACCAAACCACACUGCUCCAUAACUCUCACCUCUAUCUCCUUCUCAUAAAAUUCAUGUAUGUUGACAUGACUGUGUAUCUCCCAAACGCAGCACGACUGUGAGAAAUAUUGUAAUUUUUGAAAUGAAAAAUACAUUAGUAUCAAAAUUGAGGACUUGGCUGGGUACAACUGAUGGUAAAGAAUGCAAGUGACACUGCAAAUAAAACCUGUUUCAGUGUCCCUACUUAUCAUCUAAACCAUGCAGUUUAAAUUAAAAAAAAAAUUAAUACCGGCUGUCUGGGUCUGAAUAUUUCAGAAAUGCUACGAUGAUUGAAAAGAAUUUGUCUGUGAUAUAACUCCAUUUCCUGGGAAGGCUUACCUCUUUAGACUAAUAAUACUUUUUCUAAUCUGCAUUCACAGAACUGUAACAUUACCUCACCAUGAAAAUAAAAACCAAGGUUAAAAAAAAAAGAAGGGAAUAAGGCUGGAGUUAAAGAGUUUACAGUAUGAAAAAGGGAUUAAAAUAAAAUGAUGAAAAAUGCCUGCCUUUUUUCAACAGUGGUUGAGUUGCAGUCUUGCCAUCCUCUUCCUCAACUAGAUUAUGUUUAAAAAACACAAAAAUAUGUUAAUUGCCUUUAUAUUAAUAAAAUAAUAAAAAUGCAACUAGAGCACAUUUAUAAACAAAAUAUAGUAGGAAGCAACAGUCCACUGAAAAAUAAGACUGAAGAUUAAUAUUUUCUGCACUGAGUGCUGAAGCUUCUAAAAAGCACACAUAUUUGAGACCCCUCCCCUACAGGAUGACUAACACCUCUAAUUUCUGUAAAAUUAUUUUUUAAAUUUCAGCGUAUUUUUAAAAUUUUUACACUUUCAUACUUGAGAAGAUAUUGAACUGUGGCUUAUAAAGUAUAAAUGACAUUAAACAUUGAUAUUGCAGAUAAUAAAUUUUAAACAUGCCACUGCAUCACUGUGCAAAUAACUGAAGAGCAAUUUUAGAAACAUUUAAUGGAUAUUUGUUGUUUGUAAAAAAUUAAUCACCACUUGAAAUAUUAAGAAAUUUGAUCAGAGAAAGAAGUAUUUUUGCUUUAUAUAAAACGCCAGGUUAUACAGCAGUGAUUUUUCUCAAAUAUAUAAAUGUAUAUGUGUAUGUAUAUAUGUGUGCAUAUAUUUAUCCAUUUAUAUUUAAAAAUAUCUACAAAUAUUUUUCUGGCAUUAAAAAUUUUCCUAAUCUCAUUCUGUUCCCU